rnacentral:rRNA from 1 species
UACGUAGGUGACAAGCGUUGUCCGGAUUUACUGGGCGUAAAGAGCUCGUAGGCGGUCUGUCGCGUCGAAUGUGAAAACCCGGGGCUCAACUCCGGGCUUGCAUUCGAUACGGGCAGGCUAGAGUUCGGUAGGGGAGUCUGGAAUUCCUGGUGUAGCGGUGAAAUGCGCAGAUAUCAGGAGGAACACCGGUGGCGAAGGCGGGACUCUGGGCCGAUACUGACGCUGAGGAGCGAAAGCGUGGGGAGCGAACAGG